GUUUGCAUUGAUGAGGUCAUAUCGCCCCAGUCUGAUUACCAUGACUGAGUGAUUCUUCUGAGAAAUG